rnacentral:ribozyme from 1 species
AGCAGAACCACUAAGGUUUUGGAUCCAGCUCCUCUCGAAGGAUAAUACACACUCUUUCUCCCCACCUCUACUCAAUCAAUCAAAGGCGUAAAUAAUGGUAACGUACUACACCUAAUAUCCAAGGUUGGAUGAACAGAGAAACUCAACCCCUUAGGAGGAUGGACGGUAUAGCUGAAUUGAGAGGA